UUUUUUUUUUUGUUUGAUGUUUUUGAGUCAGGCGGUCUCCGGCGACGAGGUGGAGGACGACGCGUCCGAUGAUUCCAAGUCUGGCUGCUCAGACUCAGACGGAUCGGAGGUAAGUUGGUUGGGUGAAAGUCGUCCUUCUCAG